rfam:TPA: Bos taurus chromosome X, whole genome shotgun sequence.
UCCCUAGUGGCUCAGAGGGUAAAGCGUCUGCCUGCAGUGCAGGUAGACCUGGGUUCGAUACCUGGGUCAGGAA